rnacentral:tRNA from 1 species
GAGGGUAAAGCUCAGUGGCAGAAGCGUGUGCUUGGCACGGACAAGGUCCUGGGUUCAAUCCCCAGGACCUCCA